rnacentral:rRNA from 1 species
CACGUAGGGUGCGAGCGUUGUCCGGAAUUAUUGGGCGUAAAGAGCUCGUAGGCGGUGUGUCGCGUCGGCCGUGAAAACCUGCAGCUUAACUGUGGCUUGCGGUCGAUACGGCAUCACUGGAGUUCGGCAGGGAGACUGGAAUUCCUGGUGUAGCGGUGAAAUGCGCAGAUAUCAGGAGGAACACCGGUGGCGAGCGGUCUCUGGCCGAUACUGACGCUGAGGAGCGAAAGCGUGGGG